UACAGAGGGUGCAAGCGUUGUUCGGAAUUACUGGGCGUAAAGGGCUCGUAGGCGGCCAACUAAGUCGGACGUGAAAUCCCCAGGCUCAACCUGGGAACUGCGUCCGAUACUGGAUGGCUUGAAUUCGGGAGAGGGAUGCAGAAUUCCAGGUGUAGCGGUGAAAUGCGUAGAUAUCUGGAGGAAUACCGGUGGCGAAGGCGGCAUCCUGGACCGACAUUGACGCUGAGGAGCGAAAGCUAGGGGAGCAAACGGGG
rnacentral:rRNA from 1 species